rnacentral:rRNA from 1 species
AUAAGGAUCGGCUAACUCCGUGCCAGCAGCCGCGGUAAUACGGAGGAUGCAAGCGUUAUCCGGAAUCAUUGGGUUUAAAGGGUCCGUAGGUGGACAAUUAAGUCAGAGGUGAAAUCCUGCAGCUCAACUGUAGAAUUGCCUUUGAUACUGGUUGUCUUGAGUUAUUGUGAAGUGGUUAGAAUGUGUAGUGUAGCGGUGAAAUGCAUAGAUAUUACAUAGAAUACCGAUUGCGAAGGCAGAUUACUAAUAAUAUACUGACACUGAUGGACGAAAGCGUGGGGAGCGAACAGGAUUAGAUACCCUGGUAGUCCACGCCGUAAACGAUGGAUACUA